rnacentral:pre_miRNA from 1 species
CUACUACUACCUCCGUCCGAAAAUACUUGUCAUUGAAAUGGAUGUAUCUAGAUGUAUUUUAGUUCUAGACACAUCCAUUUUGAUGACAAGUAAUUCCGGACGGAGGGAGUAUUAU